rnacentral:rRNA from 1 species
UACGAAGGGGGCUAGCGUUGCUCGGAAUGACUGGGCGUAAAGCGUGCGCAGGCGGUUUUGCAAGCCGGAUGUGAAAUCCCCGGGCUCAACCUGGGAAUGGCAUUUGGGACUGCAAGGCUCGAGUGCGGCAGAGGAGACUGGAAUUCCUGGUGUAGCAGUGAAAUGCGUAGAUAUCAGGAGGAAUACCGAUGGCGAAGGCAGGUCUCUGGGCUGACACUGACGCUCAUGCACGAAAGCGUGGGGAGCAAACAGG